GGUGGCUUAGUGUCAGAGUGCUUGCCUUGCAUGCAUGAGGCCCUGGGUUCAAUUCCUCAGCACCA
rnacentral:tRNA from 1 species